UUUAAAGUCGGUAUCCUAACAGUUUGAUCCAUUUCUGCAACCAAAAUCUCCUAGCUUUAUGGUUUGAUUCACUUCUCUUCGAAAGGCAGUUCAUUUUUGAUGAACUCAUUUGCUAGGAUUACAGUAAGAAAUUUAUUCCUACCUACCACUCGAGUUCCUCCAAUCUCUGUAUGCCCAAAUUAGGGUUCUAGAUUGAUCUUCCGUAACGAAAGUAAAAAAACAUCCACAUUAUUUUUCAUUCAUCGUAUGAGAUUAUCUGAAGUAUGCAACUCAUUUAAAAAUCUCUGCAACUGUUUAUCAGAUAUGAUAUGAUAGACAAACUACUAAACAAGGUCUAUCUCUCUUUCUAUUUAAUACCCUGUUUUUGUGUUUAAUGGUCAAAUUAGGAAGUGGAUUUUGAUAAUGGGUUUGUUUCUGAUUUGGUACUAAUUUAUUCCCAGGAAUUUUACAGAUUGUAUUGUACUAUUUAUCUUAGUAUCAGAUGAAUAAUGAAUCUUAGCAUUAGAUGGUAUUGUUCAAAUGGUAAAGAUCUGGUGUAGAAUUUCUUAGUGCUCUAGAGAUGCAUCUCCAACAUUUACACUGCCUAUUGUACCUUCGGAGACAACACUCUCAAAAUGGGUAUCUGAAACAGAAAUUAAGGUGACAUUUUUGCUCCAAAUAAUUGGUAAUUCCCCUUGCUUCCUGGUGCUAAAGUAACCGGUGGAUCUCCAAGCGAGCUCUCUAAUUUUUUUUCCUUAAGCAACAAUGUGUAUAUUUGUUUGUUGGCUGUUCAAGAUUGCUAUGCAAAUUCUAAUUCCAAUAUUUGUUGUUUUCUUGGUAAUUUUAUAGGGAGAAAUUUGAUGAUAAAAAGGAGAUAGAGGCCUAGAUGAAGAUAGAAGAAACCCAAAGAAGAAAAAGAUUCUUCAUAUUUUCUGUUAUUUCACAAAUUGUCUCAUGUGAAUCGUGAAUAUUGCUCUGCCGAAGAUUUAGAAUUAUUUGGUCCGAAGAAGAAUAAAGAGGGUAGUUAAGUGUGUAAAUGUAACAUGAGUUUGAGUUUAUAUUUAUUGUUAUUUUGUGCUUUUAGUUUCUGCAACAAAAAAAUGAAGCACCCAAGUUUUGAAGAUCCGUAAAAGUUUAAGUUAAUGGUUGAAUCCUAGCAUUAGAUGAAUAGUGAAGUGCAUUGAAUAAAUCAAAAGUGGUAGUCACCUGAACACAAAUUACUAGAUUGAUUAUGAUAGAAAAAGGGGAUUGUACUAAUUUUGGACAGCAACAGUGUACCGGUUGAACUUUCAUGUUGCGUGUUACAUGGUUCUUCAUCUCAUUUCUUUUCUGAAUGCAAGUUAUUUAAAAUUUGGUUUUAGUAUCCAUUUGAGAUAUAUAGAUGGCGCAGAGUUUUUUCUGAAAUAGUCACCACAUGGGAGGAUUUUAGUGAACCAACAUUCUCAAAGAACUAUGAUAUGCUAUUUUACCUAUUAGUUGUAACUUUCGGUUAUUUGCAUUCUUUCUAACUUUUGAUCAAUUUAUUUUGUGUGGUAUUAUAGGUUCUCAAAUGUUCCGGAAUAUACAAAAGAUCUCACAACAGUAGUAUUGGGCAAACAGAAACUUUUAUGGCAGGGCCUGGAGUUCACAGUUUGGCGACAUUGUACCAAGUAGCCUGGAUCAAACACCCAUGUCCAAUAAAGCACGUUCUGCACGGUGCGGUAUUUGUUGGACAUCGAAAAUUGUUAACACAUCUAUGAGUCACUUUGGCUAACCACGUAUUGUUGGUACUUUCUUAACUGUUCUAAAUUUGAAUCAGGGUCAUGUAUAUCUACGUAGUUCCCUUAUGUUUCGUAAUUCCCUAAAACAAAUUAGGGUUUUAUUUUUGAAGUAUCCAAGUGACAUCUUCCCAGCCUUCCAUUGAUAAAGUGAAAUGUUUGACAUUCAACUACUCCGGUCCGUUUCUUCAAUCCUCUCUGUUUCAGGUUAGCGUUUAUAAAGAUUAUAGGUUUGCUGCUGAAUUUAACGGUCGGUCAGUAUUUCCAUUUUUAAUUGGGUUCGAUUUCAAGAAGCAAGGUUUUUUUAAUUAGGAGGGUUUAGUCUAUGAGCCUACACAGCUUUAAGUUGAAAUCAUUUAUUGGCUACUUCAAUUUCAAGUAAAAAGAAGUGGACAUUUGGAAGGCUUAUUUGGUUAAACUUUGAUUUUGGCUACUUGGGAAACAUCUUUUUGAAUUUAUAAUUUAACAUGGAGAUACUUGAGAACUUGGGUGAUUACAAUAUCCGUGAGGGGUCAUAUUCAUAGAAAAUCAUAGGAGGAAAUGCUUCUACCUAUUACAGGAACAAAAACAACUUUCAAAUCCUGUUCAAGCAUUCAUCUUGGACCAGUCUAAAUCAGAUACCGAGAUGCCGAGCAAGAGGUAUGUGAGCAAAUAAUUUAUCCCCAGAAGGGUACAUAGUUUAUCGAUUUCCAUGGUAUAUAUGGAAAUGGACUUGGGUCACUUAAAAUUGUUAAGUAAGCAGUAUGUAAUGUUACGGUGUUACUUGAAGAAGAUCUAUUAAAUUAAGCAACAUACAAUUUCAUAUUUUUGUUUGAGCAAUAAACGGUGAGUACCAUCUCCACCGUUUUCUUCUAUUGUACUUAGUCUUUCUUUUUAUUGGUAGAAUUAACUUAGAUCUGAGAGUGAAACACUUAAGAUGGGAAACAUUAAGCUUACUGUAUGGUACUUGAGGUGUCACUAUUAUUUAUUAAGUGCUGCAAAUGGUGCUUAUUGACUACCUCACUUUCCUUUACCUUGAUUUGAGAUUUGCCUAAUUCUCAUAUGUUAGUUUAAUUUUCUUCUUUUGCCACAGGGAUGCUUAUAAUGAUAUGAAUGCAUCAAGUUUCUCAUAUUAUGCCUUGAUUUAUGAUGACCUGAUGGUACUUGAAGAUAUCAGGUGUUUGGCCUUGGAGAAGGUUUGAUGGUUGGUGAAGUCAAAAACUUGGGGAAUGAAAAUUAAGGUCUCUUAAGUUUAAAGCUCUGUUGUUUAGCCGGAACAAAAUAUUUCAAUGAAGCUAACAAAGUGCCAACAAGCAACAACAUUUAUUGAUCGGUACCACAACGGUGAUGAAAUUUUUGGAAGUGGCCAGGAUUAUGAUUUGUUUACCUUACCAUUUUCUAACCCAUCUCUAAAUUUGUAAGCUAUCUUUGUCAUAGAUGUGAGUCAUGUGACAGAGAGGUAAUGAAGCUAUUGUGAUGUUAUUCGAAUGAGUUUGGUAAUUCUUCCGUGUGGUAUUUAUCUCACUUCAACUAUUUGUAGUCUUUCUCAGUUGGAAAUAAAAACCAGAACCAUAGAGUUCUUUUCACGA